ACAUAGCUUAAAAUUUUAGAAAGGGAAAAUUAAGAAAAGAAGUACUCACUUUGUUCUCUCUUUUCUCUGACUUUGCUUUGCUACUGCCUCCUCCGUCUCUCUUCCAUCCUCCUUUCCCUAAUCAACUGGUCAAGUCUCUCUUGCACUAUGGCUUGUGCAACGCUAAACACCGAAGGGAACCGAUUAGAGGCUGAUGAACUCUCUGCUUCCUCUAUGGAAGACACACUAAGCCUCCUACAACUACUGCAGCAUAAGGCCUUGCAUCCUUUCUGCUAUGAAUUUCAGUGCUUCAAAGCAAAGACAGGAGUUUGCUGAGGCUAUCUGCUCCCCUGGAGGGUUGAAUUAGAGAAAAAUUAUCAACCCAAAUGCCGGAAGCAUAUGAAUGGUUCUGGUCUGAGCAGGUUCCAGCUAUUGUGGCAUCCUUUGUUAAUAAGUUUGAAGGGGAUGGACGCUUUUCUGCUAGUGCUAUUUUUGUGUGUUCACUGUCAAUAAUGCAUUUUUAUAUGUUGAGCUAUUAGCUUUCAUUGGUCUGCACAGAGAAUAUCUCGUUCAUUUUGGGCCGAGAGCUACAGUCUGUAGAGAAAAAGAUGAAUGAGGUUCAAAAGAGAUUGUUUUCUGGGUGAAUCUUGCUCAGAGGCAACUGCAGCAAGUUAUUGAUAAGGAGAAAAUCUGGUCAAGACUGACAACUUUUGAAAGUAUUCAGGCAAGUUACAUGCAUCUCUGAAGACAGCUUGGUUUAACCUUCUUGAAUUCAUACUCAGUUCAACUGACUACGCAUAAGUCUCACAGCUAAAUUACCAUAGUCAGACCUAUACUUUGCUUGAAAAUGCACUCGUAUACAAAUUCUUAUUGGUUGAUGGGGUUAUGGUCCAAUGUUUCUGACCUUAGUUUAAUUGUG